CAAGGUUUAGCUCAGUGGUAGAGCAUUCGACUGCAGAACGAGAGGUCCCCGGUUCAAAUCCGGGAGUCUUCU